rnacentral:rRNA from 1 species
GUGCCAGCCGCCGCGGUAAUACGUAGGGUGCAAGCGUUGUCCGGAAUUAUUGGGCGUAAGGAGCUCGUAGGCGGUCUGUCGCGUCGGCUGUGAAAACUCGGGGCUCAACCCCGAGCCUGCAGUCGAUACGGGCAGACUAGAGUGCUGUAGGGGAGACUGGAAUUCCUGGUGUAGCGGUGAAAUGCGCAGAUAUCAGGAGGAACACCGGUGGCGAAGGCGGGUCUCUGGGCAGUAACUGACGCUGAGGAGCGAAAGCGUGGGGAGCGAACAGGAUUAGAU